CCCCGUGCCAGCACCGCCGUUGUGCCACGAAGGCUGCUUGAAGUUCUGGGAAGCAAAGGAGGCCUCCAUCCUGCUCAACACUCGAGGGACAGGCAAGACAAAAACGCAGCCACCAGCAUCCUGCCUCUCCUGGCUCAGCUCCGGCGCUCUCCGGAGCACGAGAGUGGCUUGGCCAGAAGCUGGAGCUGUGCCAGAGCCGGAGCUGUGCCAGGGCCGGCAACACCAACGCGACAGCUGCUCCUUUGGUCACGGCCACAGCCCUGCCGUAAGCUCCGGCUCUGUCGCCUCCUCCACCCGCGCUGAAUAACGGCAGGAAGAGGGCGAGCAGCCCCUACCCACCGCACUCCUUCCCCUCCGCCAGCGACACCAGUGGCACGGGGACCCCCCCACCGGCCGUUCCGCCGCCCGCCAUGGGCAGCACCGUCCCGCUGACGCCCAUGGGUGCCACGCAUGCCCUGGCGGAGCGGGUGCCGAUGCCGCUCUGGAUAGGUAUAAAUAACAUGACAGAUGUCUAUACAAA